rnacentral:pre_miRNA from 1 species
GGAUCCUGUACUGAGCUGCCCUGAGGCUCUUCUUUGUGUCCAACUCGGGGCAACUCAGUACAGGAUGC